UUCUAAGUAAGUUCUUCAAAAAAAAUUCGUUACUUCUCCAAGUUGUCCUAGAACAUUGCUAGCUAAUUAGGUCAAUCGUAUCUCCAUUGGCAUAAUAGCAUCUUUUCUUGACUACCAUUUUAGAUGUUCAUGGAAUUGUCCCAUGGUUAUUUCCCUUGAUAGAUGAUGUUGUUGGAAUUAUUUCCAUGGUUAUGAAAGCAAAUAAAUUCAUGCAGAGACCACUACUAACUAUAUUAAAGAAAUGACCUUCAGAAAUGAGAAAUCAUACAUUCCUAUUCUACCUUGUGUGAAAUCUUGGAGACGAGUUGGAAAUGAUGGAAUUUGUUAGCUGGUCUCUUACUUCUAUUAGUCUUAGCAAGCAGUUGGUGCUACGAGUGCAAGUUGAGCUCUUCUAUUUUAGCUACAUGCCCUUGGAUGUGUCAGGUCAUAAUUCCUCCAGGUAUGUUAAGGCUAAGCCUUUCCUUCAUUUUGGCAUGAUCUUGUCAUUAUACAAGUUUGAUAAUGAAGCAUAAAGAAAAAUUCAUAUCUUAAAAUUUACGUAUAAGUUGCUGUCUCGCAAGUUAUGUAUAUUUUUUCUACUUUUGUAACUCCUUAUGGGGAAUUCAUAUCAGUUGAGUAUUUCCUUCUUCCAGUCAAGAGAACAGAGAGUUUACAUAUAUACUGAGCCUACUGUGGUCGAGCGCUUAUGAGCGAGCCCAGUUGGUCGAGAUAUAGAGCCUAGUAUGGCCGAACGCGUAUGAGCGAGCCUACUAUGGCAGAGCAGUUAUAUAUAUAUAUAUAUAUAUAUAUUUACACCGAGCCUUAUAGGGCCGAAUAACUAUUUUACUUAUUAUAUUGAGGGAGUUGAGUCAGUAUCAACAGGUAAGUAUAUCUUUAGAUUUUCUUUGACUUCCAACUACUUGCAGUUAUUAUAUUAUCAGUUCAGUUUCAACUUUCAGUAUACUGCCUUACAUAUUAGGUACAUUAUUUUGUACUGAUGUCCCUUUUGCCUGGGGACGAUGCGUUUCAUGCCCGUAGGUGUAGAUAAUCAGUUUGACGAUCCCUUAGUAGACGAGAUUGGCAUUCAGCGAAGGAUCGGUAAGACUCCACCUCAUUUAGAGUGCAGCCGAGUCUAUGAGUCAUCGUGUCAGAGUUUUACUACAUACUUAUGAGGCAGCCGGUACCCUGUCCCAUUUGAUGUCAAAUAAUCUUAGAGGCUUUGUAGACAUAGAGGUUUAUUAUGUAUAAAAUGUCAGAGGCCUUGACGGCCCAUAUGUAUUAAUGUUUUAUGAACGAUGGUUCAUUAAUAUAAUAUUUGCCCACUUACAAUUGUACGUUACGAGUUAUGGCCAUGUUGGCCCAUGAUAGUUAGAAAAUAAAUGAGUUACAGAGUGGUUCACUCGGGCCACUAUGCCACCGGGUGCCAGUCACGCCUCCCCAGUUUUGGGGCAUGACAGCAAAGGCCCUCAGCAAGGCCAACCGGAGCAGUAGUUGAGGCACUUAUGUAUUCUUGACUUUGUUUGUUCGAGUCUGUAUUUUGUUAGUUUAUUUUUGAGUCUGUACUGUCAGUUUCUUCUAAGUUUGUUAGUUCAUUUUCGAGUCUGUAUUUUCAGUUUUUCUUUUGAAGUUUGUGGUCCACUCAUCGAGUCUGUCAGCUUUUAUGUUUAAAUUUGUA
rnacentral:lncRNA from 1 species